rnacentral:rRNA from 1 species
UGGGGAAUAUUGCACAAUGGGCGAAAGCCUGAUGCAGCAACGCCGCGUGAGUGAUGAAGGCCUUCGGGUUGUAAAGCUCUGUCUUUGGGGACGAUAAUGACGGUACCCAAGGAGGAAGCCACGGCUAACUACGUGCCAGCAGCCGCGGUAAUACGUAGGUGGCAAGCGUUGUCCGGAUUUACUGGGCGUAAAGGAUGCGUAGGCGGAUUUUUAAGUGAGAUGUGAAAUUCCCGAGCUUAACUUGGGGGCUGCAUUUCAAACUGGAAGUCUAGAGUGCGGGAGAGGAAAGUGGAAUUCCUAGUGUAGCGGUGAAAUGCGUAGAGAUUAGGAAGAACACCAGUGGCGAAGGCGACUUUCUGGACCGUAACUGACGCUGAGGCAUGAAAGCGUGGGUAGCAAA